UGACUUACCUGGCAGGUGCUUCACCCAGAGCCAGACUCAGUGCUGAUCCCUACAAAUUCCCCAAAUGUGAAAAUAUUGACUGCAUAAUUUCUGCUGGUGGGGGGACUGUGUUAGAAAACUCCCCUG
ensembl:snRNA U1 U1 spliceosomal RNA